GACGAACGCUGGCGGCGUGCCUAAUACAUGCAAGUAGAACGCUGAAGGAGGAGCUUGCUCUUCUGGAUGAGUUGCGAACGGGUGAGUAACGCGUAGGUAACCUGCCUGGUAGCGGGGGAUAACUCUUGGAAACGAUAGCUAAUACCGCAUAACAGUAGAUGUUGCAUGACAUUUACUUAAAAGGUGCAAUUGCAUCACUACCAGAUGGACCUGCGUUGUAUUAGCUAGUGGGUGGGGUAACGGCUCACCAAGGCGACGAUACAUAGCCGACCUGGGAGGGGGAUCGGCCACACUGGCACGGGGACACGGCCGAGCAUCCUACGAGAGACAGCACUAGAAAGCCUUCGGCAAUGGACGGGAGUCUGUCCGACCAUGGCCGCGUGCGUGAAGAAGCUUUUCCGAUGGUAAAGCUCUGUUGUAAGAGAAGAACGCGUGUGUGAGAGGAAAGUUCACGCGGUGACGGUAUCUUGCCAGAAAAGGCCGGCGAACUCCGUUC
rnacentral:rRNA from 1 species